AGAAUCAACGCUGGCGGCGUGCCUAACACAUGCAAGUCGAACGAGAAAGUGGAGCAAUCCAUGAGUAAAGUGGCGACCGGGUGAGUAACACGUGACUAACCUACCUUCGAGUGGGGGAUAACCUCGGGAAAACCGAGGCUAAUACCGCAUAACAUCGCAAGAUCAAAGCAGCAAUGCGCUGGAAGAGGGGGUCGCGGCUGAUUAGCUAGUUGGCGGGUAACGCCCACAAGGCGAAGAUCGGUA
rnacentral:rRNA from 1 species